GAUGAAGAACGCAGCGAAAUGCGAUAAGUAGUGUGAAUUGCAGAAUUCAGUGAAUCAUCGAAUCUUUGAACGCACAUUGCGCCCCUUGGUAUUCCAUGGGGCAUGCCUGUUCGAGCGUCAUUUGUACCCACAAGCUUUGCUUGGUGUUGGGUGUUUGUCCCGCGUUGCGCGUGGACUCGCCUUAAAGCGAUUGGCAGCCGGCAUAUUGGCCUUGGAGCGCAGCACAUUUUGCGCUUCUAGUCAUGAAUGUUGGCGUCCAUUAAGCCUAUACAUUUGCUCUUGACCUCGGAUCAGGUAGGGAUACCCGCUGAACUUAAGCAUAUCAAUAAGCGGAGGA
rnacentral:misc_RNA from 1 species